CCUUCGGGCGGCGGCUCGGCGAACGCGGCAAUGUUGUCGUCGGCCGACCCCUCCGUCCACACCAACUACAGCGCCGGGAGCCCGAGACUGAAAGCGUGCCUGUCCGACAUGAGCGUGGGCAACUCGCGCUUCUUCACGUACCAAGAAAUGUACCAGAUCACCGACGGCUUCUCGCCGCGCAAUUUGCUCGGCCAAGGAGGGUUCGGGUCGGUGUACAAGGGCCGGCUGCCCGAAGGGAAAGACGUGGCUGUCAAGCAGCUGAGGGAUGGCAGUGGGCAAGGGGAGCGCGAGUUCCAAGCCGAGGUGGAGAUAAUCAGUCGGGUGCAUCACCGGCAUUUGGUGUCUCUCGUGGGGUACUGCAUUGACAAUAGCCAAAGGCUGCUCGUCUACGAUUUCGUGUCGAAUGACACCCUGCAUUAUCAUCUCCACGGACAGGGAAGGCCUGUUUUAGAGUGGUCGGCUAGGGUUAAAAUUGCUGCCGGUGCUGCUCGUGGAAUAGCAUACCUGCAUGAAGAUUGCCAUCCAAGGAUAAUCCACCGAGACAUCAAAUCCUCAAACAUUUUGUUGGAUAAUAACUUUGACGCACUGGUGGCCGAUUUUGGUCUUGCAAGACUGGCUUUGGAUGCUGUAACACAUGUAACUACACGGGUUAUGGGGACAUUUGGAUACAUGGCUCCAGAGUAUGCAUCGAGUGGCAAAUUGACUGAGAAAUCUGAUGUGUUCUCUUUUGGUGUUGUACUUUUAGAGCUUAUGACUGGUCGAAAGCCUGUUGAUUCAUCCAGACCAUUGGGUGAUGAGAGCCUUGUUGAGUGGGCUAGACCAUUGCUUAGUCGAGCUCUUGAGACGGGAAAGCUGGAAGGGUUAGUCGACCCCAGGCUUGAGAGGAAUUUCAAUGAGGUCGAAAUGUUCCGUAUGAUUGAGUCUGCAGCAGCCUGCAUUCGACACUCGUCAUCAAAGAGGCCCAGAAUGAGCCAGGUGGUGCGGGUCCUCGAUAGCUUAGCGGAUAUUGACCUAACAAACGGUGUCCAGCCAGGGCAAAGCGAGCUCUUCAACGUGGCAAACACCGCGGAUAUCAGGAUGUUCCAGCAGAUGGUGCAGGGCAACCAGGACGACAGUUCCGCCUUCAGCCAAUAUAGCUGGAUCAGUCGCAGUAGGGCCGACGCCGAAGCGACCUCCUCAAACUCCCGGAUCUUGUGA
rnacentral:rRNA from 1 species